rnacentral:rRNA from 1 species
UACGUAGGGCGCAAGCGUUGUCCGGAAUUAUUGGGCGUAAAGAGCUCGUAGGCGGCUUGUCACGUCGGGUGUGAAAGCCCGGGGCUUAACCCCGGGUCUGCAUUCGAUACGGGCUAGCUAGAGUGUGGUAGGGGAGAUCGGAAUUCCUGGUGUAGCGGUGAAAUGCGCAGAUAUCAGGAGGAACACCGAUGGCGAAGGCGGGUCUCUGGGCAACAACUGACGCUGAGGAGCGAAAGCGUGGGGAGCGAACAGG